CUACGGAGGGGGUUAGCGUUGUUCGGAAUUACUGGGCGUAAAGCGCACGUAGGCGGACUGGAAAGUUGGGGGUGAAAUCCCGGGGCUCAACCCCGGAACUGCCUCCAAAACUUCCAAUCUAGAGAUCGAGAGAGGUAAGUGGAAUUCCUAGUGUAGAGGUGAAAUUCGUAGAUAUUAGGAGGAACACCAGUGGCGAAGGCGGCUUACCGGCUCGAUACUGACGCUGAGGUGCGAAAGCGUGGGGAGCAAACAGGAUUAGAUACCCUAGUAGUCC
rnacentral:rRNA from 1 species